rnacentral:rRNA from 1 species
UAAGGAAUAUUGGUCAAUGGACGCAAGUCUGAACCAGCCAUGCCGCGUGAAGGAUGACGGCCCUACGGGUUGUAAACUUCUUUUGUACGGGAAAAAAUCCCUGGUCGUGAACCGGGGUUGAUGGUACCGUAAGAAUAAGGAUCGGCUAACUCCGUGCCAGCAGCCGCGGUAAUACGGAGGAUCCAAGCGUUAUCCGGAUUCAUUGGGUUUAAAGGGUGCGCAGGCGGAAUGAUAAGUCAGUGGUGAAAUCCUACAGCUUAACUGUAGAACUGCCAUUGAUACUAUCGUUCUUGAGUACAUUUGAAGUGGGCGGAAUGUGUCAUGUAGCGGUGAAAUGCUUAGAUAUGACACAGAACACCGAUCGCGAAGGCAGCUCACUAAGUUGUAACUGACGCUCAGGCACGAAAGCGUGGGGAUCAAACA